AAGGGUUGAUGCCAUCUGUCACUCCCGGCUGUUUACUCUUCUAACAGCACAAACUCACUGGGAAGCUUGACUAUGGGCUACAGCAAAAAGCGGAAACUGAUUUUUCAGCCAAGGCAUGACAGCGACAUUGUGGACUCAAGGGCCAACUUGAUAAAAUUUCCAAGGCAGUUGACACACACUAGUAUACACACCGAGCGCAAACUGUGCAGGUUUGAUGUUGUUCUCGGAGUACUGCAGCUAAAUACAAGUUAGUGCAUUUUUUAGUUGUGG
rnacentral:lncRNA from 1 species